rnacentral:rRNA from 1 species
GAUGAACGCUGGCGGCGUGCCUAAUACAUGCAAGUCGAGCGAACGGACGAGAAGCUUGCUUCUCUGAUGUUAGCGGCGGACGGGUGAGUAACACGUGGAUAACCUACCUAUAAGACUGGGAUAACUUCGGGAAACCGGAGCUAAUACCGGAUAAUAUUUUGAACCGCAUGGUUCAAAAGUGAAAGACGGUCUUGCUGUCACUUAUAGAUGGAUCCGCGCUGCAUUAGCUAGUUGGUAAGGUAACGGCUUACCAAGGCAACGAUGCAUAGCCGACCUGAGAGGGUGAUCGGCCACACUGGAACUGAGACACGGUCCAGACUCCUACGGGAGGCAGCAGUAGGGAAUCUUCCGCAAUGGGCGAAAGCCUGACGGAGCAACGCCGCGUGAGUGAUGAAGGUCUUCGGAUCGUAAAACUCUGUUAUUAGGGAAGAACAUAUGUGUAAGUAACUGUGCACAUCUUGACGGUACCUAAUCAGAAAGCCACGGCUAACUACGUGCCAGCAGCCGCGGUAAUACGUAGGUGGCAAGCGUUAUCCGGAAUUAUUGGGCGUAAAGCGCGCGUANGCGGUUUUUUAGUCUGAUGUGAAAGCCCACGGCUCAACCGUGGAGGGUCAUUGGAAACUGGAAAACUUGAGUGCAGAAGAGGAAAGUGGAAUUCCAUGUGUAGCGGUGAAAUGCGCAGAGAUAUGGAGGAACACCAGUGGCGAAGGCGACUUUCUGGUCUGUAACUGACGCUGAUGUGCGAAAGCGUGGGGAUCAAACAGGAUUAGAUACCCUGGUAGUCCACGCCGUAAACGAUGAGUGCUAAGUGUUAGGGGGUUUCCGCCCCUUAGUGCUGCAGCUAACGCAUUAAGCACUCCGCCUGGGGAGUACGACCGCAAGGUUGAAACUCAAAGGAAUUGACGGGGACCCGCACAAGCGGUGGAGCAUGUGGUUUAAUUCGAAGCAACGCGAAGAACCUUACCAAAUCUUGACAUCCUUUGACAACUCUAGAGAUAGAGCUUUCCCCUUCGGGGGACAAAGUGACAGGUGGUGCAUGGUUGUCGUCAGCUCGUGUCGUGAGAUGUUGGGUUAAGUCCCGCAACGAGCGCAACCCUUAAGCUUAGUUGCCAUCAUUAAGUUGGGCACUCUAAGUUGACUGCCGGUGACAAACCGGAGGAAGGUGGGGAUGACGUCAAAUCAUCAUGCCCCUUAUGAUUUGGGCUACACACGUGCUACAAUGGACAAUACAAAGGGCAGCGAAACCGUGAGGUCAAGCAAAUCCCAUAAAGUUGUUCUCAGUUCGGAUUGUAGUCUGCAACUCGACUACACGAAGCUGGAAUCGCUAGUAAUCGUAGAUCAGCAUGCUACGGUGAAUACGUUCCCGGGUCU